ACGAACGCUGGCGGCGUGCCUAAUACAUGCAAGUAGAACGCUGAAGAGAGGAGCUUGCUCUUCUUGGAUGAGUUGCGAACGGGUGAGUAACGCGUAGGUAACCUGCCUUGUAGCGGGGGAUAACUAUUGGAAACGAUAGCUAAUACCGCAUAACAAUGGAUGACCCAUGUCAUUUAUUUGAAAGGGGCAAAUGCUCCACUACAAGAUGGGCCUGCGUUGUAUUAGCUAGUAGGUGAGGUAACGGCUCACCUAGGCGACGAUACAUAGCCGACCUGAGAGGGUGAUCGGCCACACUGGGACUGAGACACGGCCCAGACUCCUACGGGAGGCAGCAGUAGGGAAUCUUCGGCAAUGGGGGCAACCCUGACCGAGCAACGCCGCGUGAGUGAAGAAGGUUUUCGGAUCGUAAAGCUCUGUUGUAAGUCAAGAACGAGUGUGAGAGUGGAAAGUUCACACUGUGACGGUAGCUUACCAGAAAGGGACGGCUAACUACGUGCCAGCAGCCGCGGUAAUACGUAGGUCCCGAGCGUUGUCCGGAUUUAUUGGGCGUAAAGCGAGCGCAGGCGGUUUGAUAAGUCUGAAGUUAAAGGCUGUGGCUCAACCAUAGUUCGCUUUGGAAACUGUCAAACUUGAGUGCAGAAGGGGAGAGUGGAAUUCCAUGUGUAGCGGUGAAAUGCGUAGAUAUAUGGAGGAACACCGGUGGCGAAAGCGGCUCUCUGGUCUGUAACUGACGCUGAGGCUCGAAAGCGUGGGGAGCGAACAGGAUUAGAUACCCUGGUAGUCCACGCCGUAAACGAUGAGUGCUAGGUGUUGGAUCCUUUCCGGGAUUCAGUGCCGCAGCUAACGCAUUAAGCACUCCGCCUGGGGAGUACGACCGCAAGGUUGAAACUCAAAGGAAUUGACGGGGGCCCGCACAAGCGGUGGAGCAUGUGGUUUAAUUCGAAGCAACGCGAAGAACCUUACCAGGUCUUGACAUCCCGAUGCUAUUUCUAGAGAUAGAAAGUUACUUCGGUACAUCGGUGACAGGUGGUGCAUGGUUGUCGUCAGCUCGUGUCGUGAGAUGUUGGGUUAAGUCCCGCAACGAGCGCAACCCCUAUUGUUAGUUGCCAUCAUUCAGUUGGGCACUCUAGCGAGACUGCCGGUAAUAAACCGGAGGAAGGUGGGGAUGACGUCAAAUCAUCAUGCCCCUUAUGACCUGGGCUACACACGUGCUACAAUGGUUGGUACAACGAGUUGCGAGUCGGUGACGGCAAGCUAAUCUCUUAAAGCCAAUCUCAGUUCGGAUUGUAGGCUGCAACUCGCCUACAUGAAGUCGGAAUCGCUAGUAAUCGCGGAUCAGCACGCCGCGGUGAAUACGUUCCCGGGCCUUGUACACACCGCCCGUCACACCACGAGAGUUUGUAACACCCGAAGUCGGUGAGGUAACCUUUUGGAGCCAGCCGCCUAAGGUGGGAUAGAUGAUUGGGGUG
rnacentral:rRNA from 1 species